rnacentral:rRNA from 1 species
CAUUGAGGUCACUGCUAUUGGGAUUCGACUAAGCCAUGCGAGUCGAGAGGGUUCGGCCCUCGGCUGACGGCUCAGUAACACGUGGAUAAUCUGCCCUAAGGUGGAGGAUAACCUCGGGAAACUGAGAAUAAUACUCCAUAGGUCUAGGAUACUGGAAUGUACUUAGACUCAAAACUUCGGUGCCUUAGGAUGAGUCUGCGGACUAUCAGGUUGUAGUCAGGGUAAUGACCUGACUAGCCUACGACGGAUACGGGUUGUGAGAGCAAUAACCCGGAGAUGAUAUCUGAGACACGAUAUCAGGCCCUACGGGGCGCAGCAGGCGCGAAAACUUCACACUGCGCGAAAGCGCGAUGAGGGGAUCCCAAGUGCAUGCACGUAAGUGUAUGCUGUUUCUUUGUUUAAAAAGCAUAGAGAGUAAGGGCUGGGUAAGACGGGUGCCAGCCGCCGCGGUAAUACCUGCAGCUCAAGUGGUGAUCGUUAUUAUUGGGCCUAAAACGUCCGUAGCCGGUUUAGUAAAUGCCUGGGUAAAUCGUGCCGCUCAACGGUACGAAUUCCGGGUAGACUGCUAAACUUGGGACCGGGAGAGGCUAGAGGUACUCCUGGGGUAGAGGUGAAAUUCUGUAAUCCUGGGGGGACCACCAGUGGCGAAGGCGUCUAGCUAGAACAGGUCUGACGGUGAGGGACGAAGCCCUGGGGCGCAAACCGGAUUAGAUACCCGGGUAGUCCAGGGUGUAAACGCUGCUUGCUUGAUGUUAGUCGGGCUCCGAGCCCGAUUAGUGUCGGAGAGAAGUUGUUAAGCAGCUGCCUGGGGAAGUACGGUCGCAAGACUGAAACUUAAAGGAAUUGGCGGGGAGCACAGCAACGGGGUGGAGGCGGUGGCGGUUUAAAUUGGAUUUCAACGCGGAAAACUCACCGGAGGCCGACGGUUUACAUGAAGGUCAGCUGAUGACCUUACCUCGGAUUUUCCGAGAGGUUGUGCAUGGCCGGCCGUCCAGGUUCGUACCGUUAAGGGCGGUUCAGUUUUAAGUUCAGACACGACCGGAGAACCUUAAUCUUUAUUGCCUGACCUGGUAGAUGUUCGGGCGU